rnacentral:tRNA from 1 species
AUUGGGGUGGCAGAGCAUGGUAAAUUGCAAAAGGUCUAAGCCCUUUGAAUCAGAGGUUCAAAUCCUCUUCCCAGUU